CUGCUCUGUAACCUUCGGGGACUACAAUGGUUAGGGGCGUCUACUCGGAUCAGCAAAGGUGCUAGCUACGUUGACGCGGUGCUCUGCUUGGCUGUGUGUCGGGAUUCCGGCGCCCUCUGUAGAGAGGGAUGUUGGGUUCCGUUAAAGUAGGGGAAUCGGGUCAGGCCGGAAACGGAGCAGCCCACCUCGCGCACGUCGGUCGUUGCAGAAUAACACCGCGGAGUAUGUCUACACUGGCGCCCCGAGGGG
rnacentral:SRP_RNA from 1 species